GCUGAGCACAACGCAGCUCCGCCCUCGCAAAGGCACAGCGCGGGCGCAGGCGCCCAGAGGCGCACAGGAGACCUCAGGCCCAGACUCCACUCCCCAGCUGUGAAAGGACUGCUGGCCAGACCCCCAAGCUAGCCCGCCAGGCCUCCAUAGAGCUGCCCAGCAUGGCUGCAUCCAGUACCAAGAGUUGGUGGGAGACGGGUGAGGUAUAGGCUCAGUCUGCGGCCAAGACUCCGUCCUGCAAGGAUAUUGUGGCUGGAGACAUGAGCAAGAAAAGCCUCUGGGAGCAGAAGGGAGGCUCCAAGACCUCAUCAACAAUUAAGAUGGACUCUGUGACUACAUGACUAAUAAAAUAUGGCAGAAAUGACACCAUGCAGUUUCCAAGCCCAGGCCUUAGGAGACAGGCAGCUUCCAGUUCAGUCUUUUGGAGGGUCAGCUCUGGGGCCCUCAGCCAUCACGCAUGGAGUCCAACCACCCUGAGACGUCAUGCUGGAGACCCACCUGUGGAUGCCCCAGUCAAGAGUCCUGGCUGAGCCCAGCCUCCCAGCCACCCCCACCCAGGGCACCAGACCACGGAGCUUCUGGCCAAGGCUUCACCAACUUCACUUGAUGCUGUGAGGAACAGAACUGCCCAUCCAAGCCCUGCCAGAAUUUCUAACCCACAAAGCCACGAGUCACAAUAAAUGCUAUGGGACAAAAACAGUCAUGCA
rnacentral:lncRNA from 1 species